rnacentral:lncRNA from 1 species
CCAAUCCUAACCACUCAUUUUAUAUCUUAUAUCAAUCUCUCAUCAUACAUUAAUUUUUAAUAUUUAAAUAUUUUAUCACUGUCUUUAUUCUAAUUCCACCACCUGCCACCUCCAACCACUGCCGACCAUCAUUUCUGGAGACCACCAGAAAAUCACCACCGUCAAACAUAAAAUCACCACCGUCAAACCAAAAAUCACCACCGGAAAACUAAAAAUCACUUCUGGAAAAAUAAAAAUUACCACCAGAAUAUGAAAACUACUACACCCAGCCAUUAUUCAUGCCCACCAAAUCCGGCCACCAACAUCGUUUAUAAACUCCGGUCAUCAACAUCAUAAAAAUAAUCACCAGAUUUUACUGGAAAUCGUAACAAUAAUCAGUACGUACCACCACAUCACCACUAUCACCAUCUACAAACCACCACCACUUUCUACAAAUCCCCCAAAUCUGAAAAAUCACUGAUUACAAAACGAAAUCACUAAAAAGGAACUCCGGUCACCAACAUAAUAACAAUAAUCACCAAAAACGCCAUCAUUCAUCACCGCCAUAAGCAUCUAUACAAACCACCACCACCAUCUACAAACCCUCCAAAUCAGAAAAAUCACCGAUUACAAAAUAAAAUCACUAAAAGUGAAUAAAAAUGAAUAACCUUCUACUUGAUAAUUAAUGCUUGAGGUGUCAGGAAUUAAUUAGGGAGAUUGUAAUCACCAAAUGGAGGUCGGAGAGUCGCCGGAAUGCUCCACCGAUGGACUCUCGUUUGCGAGAGCGAGGAAGAGCAGAGGGGAGGCAGAAAGUGCGGGGAGAUAGGGAGGAGAUGAAAGGAGGAUGAGGUUUUGUAUAGUCAAGGAUGUGGAGUGGAGUUGCGAUGUCGCCGGCGGUGACAACGACACCGCGACAUCGGUGGUAGCAGCAAAGAAAGAGGCAGGAGGAAGAAGAGAUUGACGGGAAGGGGAGAGGGGAUUGCUUGCUGUUUGUGUAUGGCCGAGCCCACCGCAGCAGCGGCGGAGAGAGGGGGCUGAGCCAUUGACGGCGAUGACGGCAACAUGGGGUGGGGGUGGAGUUUUGAAGAGGUGAG